CAAUUCAGUGGAAGUUUUAGGCAAUAACAGGUCUGUGAUGCCCUUAGAUGUUCUGGGCCGCACGCGCGCUACACUGACAAAACCAGCGAGUUUUACAUCCUUGGCCGGAAGGUCUGGGUAAACUUUUGAAAUUUUGUCGUGCUGGGGAUAGAACAUUGCAAUUAUUGUUCUUCAACGAGGAAUUCCUAGUAAGCGCAAGUCAUCAGCUUGCGUUGAU
rfam:Absidia glauca strain CBS 101.48 genome assembly, contig: contig_428